GUAGGUGGCAAGCGUUGUCCGGGAAUUAUAGGGGCGUAAAGCGCGCGCAGGCGGUUCUUUAAGUCUGAUGUGAAAGCCCACGGGCUCAACCGUGGAGGGUCAUUGGAAACUGGAGAACUUGAGUACAGAAGAGGAAAGCGGAAUUCCACGUGUAGCGGUGAAAUGCGUAGAGAUGUGGAGGAACACCAGUGGCGAAGGCGGCUUUCUGGUCUGUAACUGACGCUGAGGCGCGAAAGCGUGGGGAGCAAACAGGAUUAGAUACCCUGGUAGUCCACGCCGUAAACGAUGAGUGCUAAGUGUUAGGGGGUUUCCGCCCCUUAGUGCUGCAGCUAACGCAUUAAGCACUCCGCCUGGGGAGUACGGCCGCAAAGGCUGA
rnacentral:rRNA from 1 species